UACGUAGGGGGCGAGCGUUUUCCGGAAUUACUGGGUGUAAAGGGCGUGUAGGCGGUGAUGCAAGUUAUCGGUAAAAACCCGGGGCUCAACUCCGGGCUUGCCGAUAAAACUGCAUCACUUGAGUGCAGGAGAGGGAAGUGGAAUUCCCGGAGUAGCGGUGAAAUGCGUAGAUACCGGGAGGAACACCAGUGGCGAAGGCGGCUUCCUGGCCUGUAACUGACGCUGAGGCGCGAAAGCUGGGGGAG
rnacentral:rRNA from 1 species